rnacentral:rRNA from 1 species
AGCUAGUUGGCGGGGUAAAAGCCCACCAAGGCGACGAUCUGUAGCUGGUCUGAGAGGACGACCAGCCACACUGGGACUGAGACACGGCCCAGACUCCUACGGGAGGCAGCAGUGGGGAAUUUUGGACAAUGGACGAAAGUCUGAUCCAGCCAUGCCGCGUGCGGGAAGAAGGCCUUCGGGUUGUAAACCGCUUUUGUCAGGGAAGAAACGCUCUGGGUUAAUACCUUGGAGUAAUGACGGUACCUGAAGAAUAAGCACCGGCUAACUACGUGCCAGCAGCCGCGGUAAUACGUAGGGUGCAAGCGUUAAUCGGAAUUACUGGGCGUAAAGCGUGCGCAGGCGGUUAUGCAAGACAGAUGUGAAAUCCCCGGGCUCAACCUGGGAACUGCAUUUGUGACUGCAUAGCUAGAGUACGGUAGAGGGGGAUGGAAUUCCGCGUGUAGCAGUGAAAUGCGUAGAUAUGCGGAGGAACACCGAUGGCGAAGGCAAUCCCCUGGACCUGUACUGACGCUCAUGCACGAAAGCGUGGGGAGCAAACAGGAUUAGAUACCCUGGUAGUCCACGCCCUAAACGAUGUCAACUAGUUGUUGGGAGGGUUUCUUCUCAGUAACGUAGCUAACGCAUGAAGUUGACCGCCUGGGGAGUACGGCCGCAAGGUUGAAACUCAGAGGAAUUGACGGGGACCCGCACAAGCGGUGGAUGAUGUGGUUUUAUUCGAUGCAACGCGAAAAACCUUACCUACCCUUGACAUGUCAGGAAUCCCAGAGAGAUUUGGGAGUGCUCGAAAGAGAGCCUGAACACAGGUGCUGCAUGGCCGUCGUCAGCUCGUGUCGUGAGAUGUUGGGUUAAGUCCCGCAACGAGCGCAACCCUUGUCAUUAGUUGCCACAUUUAGUUGGGCACUCUAAUGAGACUGCCGGUGACAAACCGGAGGAAGGUGGGGAUGACGUCAGGUCAUCAUGGCCCUUAUGGGUAGGGCUACACACGUCAUACAAUGGCCGGUACAGAGGGCUGCCAACCCGCGAGGGGGAGCUAAUCCCAGAAAACCGGUCGUAGUCCGGAUCGUAGUCUGCAACUCGACUACGUGAAGUCGGAAUCGCUAGUAAUCGCGGAUCAGCUUGCCGCGGUGAAUACGUUCCCGGGUCUUGUACACACCGCCCGUCACACCAUGGGAGCGGGUUCUGCCAGAAGUAGUUAGCCUAACCGCAAGGAGGGCGAUUACCACGGCAGGGUUCGUGACUGGGGUGAAGUCGG